GAUGAACGCUGGCGGCGUGCCUAAUACAUGCAAGUCGAGCGAACAGACGAGGAGCUUGCUCCUCUGACGUUAGCGGCGGACGGGUGAGUAACACGUGGAUAACCUACCUAUAAGACUGGGAUAACUUCGGGAAACCGGAGCUAAUACCGGAUAAUAUAUUGAACCGCAUGGUUCAAUAGUGAAAGACGGUUUUGCUGUCACUUAUAGAUGGAUCCGCGCCGCAUUAGCUAGUUGGUAAGGUAACGGCUUACCAAGGCAACGAUGCGUAGCCGACCUGAGAGGGUGAUCGGCCACACUGGAACUGAGACACGGUCCAGACUCCUACGGGAGGCAGCAGUAGGGAAUCUUCCGCAAUGGGCGAAAGCCUGACGGAGCAACGCCGCGUGAGUGAUGAAGGUCUUCGGAUCGUAAAACUCUGUUAUUAGGGAAGAACAAAUGAGUAAGUAACUAUGCACGUCUUGACGGUACCUGAUCAGAAAGCCACGGCUAACUACGUG
rnacentral:rRNA from 1 species